AUUGAACGCUGGCGGCAGGCUUAACACAUGCAAGUCGAGCGGAGAGAGGUAGCUUGCUGCUGAUCUUAGCGGCGGACGGGUGAGUAAUGCUUAGGAAUCUGCCUAUUAGUGGGGGACAACAUUUCGAAAGGAAUGCUAAUACCGCAUACGUCCUACGGGAGAAAGCAGGGGAUCUUCGGACCUUGCGCUAAUAGAGGAGCCUAAGUCGGAUUAGCUAGUUGGUGGGGUAAAGGCCUACCAAGGCGACGAUCUGUAGCGGGUCUGAGAGGAUGAUCCGCCACACUGGGACUGAGACACGGCCCAGACUCCUACGGGAGGCAGCAGUGGGGAAUAUUGGACAAUGGGCGGAAGCCUGAUCCAGCCAUGCCGCGUGUGUGAAGAAGGCCUUAUGGUUGUAUAGCACUUUAAGCGAGGAGGAGGCUACUUUAGUUAAUACCUAGAGAUAGUGGACGUUACUCGCAGAAUAAGCACCGGCUAACUCUGUGCCAGCCGCCGCAGUAACAC
rnacentral:rRNA from 1 species